UGAGGAAUAUUGCGCAAUGGGGGCAACCCUGACGCAGCGACGCCGCGUGGAUGAUGAAGGCCCUUGGGUCGUAAAAUCCUGUCAGAUGGAAAGAAAUGUAUAGCAGCUAAUAUCUGUUAUAUUUGACGGUACCAUCAAAGGAAGCACCGGCUAACUCCGUGCCAGCAGCCGCGGUAAUACGGAGGGUGCAAGCGUUGUUCGGAAUUACUGGGCGUAAAGCGCGCGUAGGCGGUUUGCUAAGUCAGAUGUGAAAGCCCUCGGCUUAACCGGGGACGUGCAUUUGAAACUGGCAGACUUGAGUACUGGAGGGGGUGGUGGAAUUCCCGGUGUAGAGGUGAAAUUCGUAGAUAUCGGGAGGAAUACCGGUGGCGAAGGCGACCACCUGGCCAGAUACUGACGCUGAGGUGCGAAAGCGUGGGGAGCAAACAGG
rnacentral:rRNA from 1 species